CCUACGGGAGGCAGCAGUGAGGAAUAUUGGUCAAUGGACGCGAGUCUGAACCAGCCAAGUAGCGUGAAGGAUGACUGCCCUAUGGGUUGUAAACUUCUUUUAUAUGGGAAUAAAGUGAAGUAUGUAUACCGUUUUGUAUGUACUAUAUGAAUAAGGAUCGGCUAACUCCGUGCCAGCAGCCGCGGUAAUACGGAGGAUCCGAGCGUUAUCCGGAUUUAUUGGGUUUAAGGGGAGCGUAGAUGGGCGUUUAAGUCAGUUGUGAAAGUUUGCGGCUAAACCGUAAAUUGGAAUUGAUACUGGGAGUCUUGAGUGCAGCUGAGGUAGGCGGAAUUCGUGGUGUAGCGGUGAAAUGCUUAGAUAUCACGAAGAACUCCGAUUGCGAAGGCAGCUUACUAAACUGCAACUGACACUGAUGCUCGAAAGUGUGGGUAUCAAACAGGAUUAGAUACCCGUGUAGUC
rnacentral:rRNA from 1 species